rfam:Schistosoma margrebowiei strain Zambia genome assembly, scaffold: SMRZ_contig0003669
AUCCAAUUGAUGAGUCCCAAAUGGGACGAAACACGCGUCAUCGAU